rnacentral:rRNA from 1 species
CUACGGGUGGCUGCAGUAAGGAAUAUUGCGCAAUGGAGGCAACUCUGACGCAGCCAUGCCGCGUGCAGGAAGAAGGCCUUAUGGGUCGUAAACUGCUUUUAUUUAGGAAUAAACCCCCGAACGUGUUCGGGGCUGAAGGUACUAAACGAAUAAGCACCGGCUAACUCCGUGCCAGCAGCCGCGGUAAUACGGAGGGUGCAAGCGUUAUCCGGAUUUAUUGGGUUUAAAGGGUGCGCAGGCGGGCUAUUAAGUCAGUGGUGAAAUCCCGGGGCUCAACUCCGGAACUGCCAUUGAUACUGAUAGUCUUGAGUUUGGUUGAAGUGGGUGGAAUGUAGCAUGUAGCGGUGAAAUGCAUAGAUAUGCUACAGAACACCAAUCGCGAAGGCAGCUCACUAAGCCAAAACUGACGCUCAUGCACGAAAGCGUGGGGAUCAAACAGGAUUAGAUACCCCGGUAGUC